rnacentral:rRNA from 1 species
UACGGGGGGGGCAAGCGUUGUUCGGAAUUACUGGGCGUAAAGGGCCAGUAGGCGGCCAACUAAGUCGGAUGUGAAAUCCCCAGGCUUAACCUGUGAACUGCAUCCGAUACUGGAUGGCUUGAAUUCGGGAGAGGGAUGCAGAAUUCCAGGUGUAGCGGUGAAAUGCGUAGAUAUCUGGAGGAAUACCGGUGGCGAAGGCGGCAUCCUGGACCGACAUUGACGCUGAACGGCGAAAGCUAGGGGAGCAAACGGG